rnacentral:lncRNA from 1 species
UCAAAACUAUAAAACAAAAAUGUGCAUCCUUUGGCAGUUGCUAAAUGUAGUCCUUAGGUUAAAGUUAAAUCUCACUUGAGACUUUCUUUUUCUUCAAGCAGUUUAUCAAGCUUUAGGAUCUGCUGCCCUCCUAUGGAUGAUGGUUGAUAGUGCUGAAUAAGUAUGGGAAUUUUUCAGUUUCUUCCAUAUGACACAGAUCAAGAAGAUAUGGCCUGGAACUCCAAAGAAUCACAGACUUUGUUAUUCAGAGAAGUUAGGUAGACACUGGAGUUCAAUAGACCCAGAUUCAAAUAUUGUCCUUUUAUAAGAUUUCUGACACCGGGUAAUUAUUCAGACCCUCCCAUUCUCAGUUUUCUCAAAGAAAAAUGAGAGGUGAGACAUUAAUUUGUUAUAUUACUUUGUGGAUUAACAAUAGUAUCUGUAAAGCUACUUUUCAAUCUUCUUGGUACAGAGUAAGAGCGUAGUAAUGUUAGCGGUUUAAUAAAUUUGUCCAAAGAUUGAUUAGGAAAUCAGUAGGCCAGCUACAGAAUGACUGGCUAGACUUGGAUAUAGUGAGAUCAGAUAUGGAUAUAGUGUUGCAAUUCUUAGUGAAUCCCAAACUGAGCAAUAGCAAUUAUGUAACAAUGCUGUUUUGAAAUCAUUACAGGCUACCAUUAAAAAGAGAAAUAAGAACAAAUAGAGUGAUUAAAAGGAUAAAAAUCAAAAAUUAAGAUUAGAAAAUAAGUGACAGAUUUUAAGUUUAUACUCAAUUGCCCUUAAAUUAUGUAAUUUCAGGCCCUUGAGUAACAAAAGAACUGGGAGGACAGAGAACAGGAAAGACAAGAGAGAGAAGUGAUGGUUUUAGAAUUUUUGCAUUUGUGUCCUCUCAAGAAUAAGCCUCAAUUUGAAUAUAGUGGCAGUACCUUAAAAAUUAAUUAGAUUUUUGAAACAAGGCAGCCAGAGAAGAGUGUAAAUAAUCUUAAUGGUCUUCAAAAUAAGCCCAGUAAAAGGGGUUUAAAAAUCUUCAUAAAGAAAUCUGUUGCUGUCAAACUUUCAAUAAAAAGUAAAGAAAGCAAAACAUUAUAGAAAACAUGAACAAAAGUCUAUCUAUAAAAUACUUAGAUUUGUUCAAAUAUUGAGUUACAUGUAAGAAAAAUAUAAUAAUUAAUUAGGGAUUACUCACAAAUGUAGCUGCAAUAGCACAUAAAAGCUUAUCAAAAUAUGCUCCAAAAUCUCAAUACAUAUAGAUAUCCCUAAAUUACCCAGAGUAAGGGAAAAAAUGAUGAUAUUAGUCAACUUCCACUUUUACGUAAUAUCUGCAGGGCAAUAAAAUAUUUACCUAAUUUAGUGAAGAACAAUAAAAUGUAUAUAACGCUUUUAAUUUGAGUUGAUUAUCCUUAAAACAACAUUUUGUUUAGUAAAAUGUAUACAAUCCUAUUAGUCUGAAUUGAUAAUCCUCAUAGCAACAUUUUGGUAUGAAAGAUUUUCUUUUCCACUGAAGACAUGCCCUUGCCUGAAAGUCUUCUCUUCCGAAGUGCUCCCUGAAUAUUGCACCUGAUGGCUAGGAUUCAACUCUGCUGGCUCUUUUUUCAUUGUCUCCCCAAGGCCAAAAAAAGCCUGGAAACCAGCUUUCAUACUGUUUUGGGGAUGAGUGAUUCAGUUUUAUUUGAGUUUCUUGAUUUGUAUUUACCUAAUUCUCUAAAAGCUUAAAUUUAGAUGUACUUUUAGUUUUUCUUUGUUUUGCUAAACAGAAACAGUAUAUUCUAGCACUUUGCUUUUUACCUCAGAGUGGAGUCUGAUAUUAAAUGAUUCACCACUUUCUGAAUUGUAACUAGGCAAGUUACUUAGCCUCCUCAUUUAACAAAUGAUGAGAACAAUGGCACCUAUUUCCUAUAGUUCUGGGUAUGGUGUGACAUAAUGCAGGUAAAUGAUUCAGAACAGCACCUGGGCUCCAUAAGUAAUAGCUAGCUAUGAUAUUUUAGGGAGAGAAUCUUAUUUUUUAAAUGAUCAAAUUAAUCCGAUCUCAUUACCUUGACCCUUCUCUACUCUUUCCCUCCUCCUACACUGACAGACUGGGGAAUCUAGGGUUUGGUGCAGAAUUUCUCAAACACUGAGAGUCUCCCCAUAAGGCAGUCACUCUCAGUCUUUAGGCAGACCACAAGUGAUAGGCUAUUAACAAUGCACAGAGUACCAAAAUUUACAAAUUAUUUAUUUUAAGAAAUAUAUGCAUAUAAAACUCAAGAUUAUAUCCACACAAAUUGUAACUUCCAUUUCCUUUUGUUCUGAUACUCUCUCAUGAGUGGGAGCGAAAAAGAUAGAGUGAUCACUAUCUCUGAGAAUUUCCAAUGUCCCAAUGUCAAUUACAUCUCCAAUGUAAUGCCGGUGGCUGUCAUUCAGCUUAUGGCUCAUUGCAGAAAAGGGAAUGAUACUAGAAGAUUUUUCAAAGAUUCUAACCAAUCAAGAUCAAUGUAAAUUAAAACAGAAAAAGAAGAAGGAAGGAAGGAGAGAGGAAAGCAAAGGAAUGAUUAGUAAGAAAGAGAAAAAGAAAAAAAGGAAGACCUAAGUAGUAAUGUAUUAUUCUACAGGAAAAGAUUCCAGUGCAUUUUUUCUUCUUUAAAAUUACUACUGAAAAUCAAGAAUCAUGGAAGGAUAUACACUUGAAUGUGUUUCAUUUCUAGCACUUUAUUUUACAUUAAUUACUCAUGCUUAGUGAGCCCACAGUUCAUGCAAAGAUCUAGAUAUUAUGAUCAUUCUUUUUGAAAAUCUAGAUUUCUUAUUUACUAGACUUGCUAAAGUAUGUUAUUAUAGAUGGCAUUCAUCUUAGAGAUUAUUCACCUAAUUAUUCAUAUAUAAUGUUAUGUAUUUUUACAUAUUAUAUACCUCUAAUAUAUAGAGAUUAUUCACAAAAAAACCUUGUUUUUACAGUGGUUAAAGGGUAAAGUGCUGUUGGUAACAAUAUGUAAUGCUUAUGGAUUAUAAGUAUUUUUAAUGAUAAAAAUGUUACAUUUUUCUCCCCUUAAAUGUGCC